rnacentral:lncRNA from 1 species
AGGAGCAAGUGAGCAGUCUUCAAAACCCGCCUUGCAUAGGAUUUAUUUAAUCUUCGAUGGUAAUGAGAUCGGCCCUCAAAACCUACUUCGAUGGUCACAGAGGAUGCUAGUUGCCAGAUCCGGCACUCCACCUUAAACUUCCGAGUUGAAAUGAAAUAUCCUAGCCUGCAGAUUUUCCAUGAAUGUAUUCCAUCCAGUUAAAGUUUUCUCCCUUUCCCUUAAAUCUAUUUCCAGUUCAAGAAAGUUCUACCAUCUUUUACAUUAAAAAAAAAAGAAGCUAAUGCAAAUCCUAGUUACAUUCUAGUUUCACCAAAUUUCAGCACAAACCACAGAUAAUGUACUUGCAUAAAAUUUGCCGAAAUUGAAAGCAAACCGAAAACUUUACCUUAUUCGAAAGGGCAGCAUUUUUUUCGGAUUUCGAGAAAGAAUCCUCGGCGCAACUCUUGACGGUCUCGACC